UUCUUCGCAUCUUUCAUCCUUGCUCUUGCUCCAAGACUGUUUUUAUGAUUGCUGUUUCACAUCUGCAUGGUGGCGCAAGUGUGCCCCAGUUGCCUCGCGACAAAACUGUCGAAGUUAGUAUGACGUGAUUCGACGAGAUGCGAUUUUGAUUGUGCAGAAGACAAGUAAAUUCAAUAUUUGCAUACGUCCUCCGUUCCAUUACGUAUAUUUAUCUUAUCAUUAUAUUAUAUUCUCAUGUGAAUUGUGUCAAAAUAUUGUGCAAGUUAACCUAACCUAAAAUUUAGCAUCCAGACGCUCGAUCAUUUAAUUCUCUCUUGAUUUUUUUCCUAACAAAAUCAUGCAAUAUACACGAUUACAAUAAGUCACGGAAACUCGCCAACAAAUAGUUCCAGAGAGAGACUUUCAGAUGACAGACGAGGUUAUUCAGAGAGGGCUACUUCCUGGCUACGUUUGCGUCUCCUUCACGAAACACAGGUCAGAUGAUCACACCGCAAGAAGGCAACUAGCACCACUAACUGGACGCUGAAACAACUGGCCAGUUUCCUGCCGUACCUUCAAGGGACAUACAUCAAAGACGAACGUGGAUUUCAUGCGAAUUUUUCUUCUCUUUUGACGUUUCUAGAUGUUGAAACGACAACGUUGUUACAAGCUGUACGGCAACUUCAUCGCCAACUUCCGCGACGAUGUAAUGAGAGGAUCGAGGAGUAUCAUGGCAGCGGAUAUCUAUUGGGUGAUAAUGGGAAUUGAAGUGAGAUGAAAUCGUUCAACUUCUUGCGCUAUAGUAGCCUCAAUGAUGGUAGUUGGACACGUGGUGAAAAAGAUAGAUAUGAGGUCAUGAACCGAAGCGCUACACGGGGACGCUAAUUAAUUUAGCCGCACCUAGGAUCAUAUGCAC